ACCUCACUUCCCUUGUCUUCCAUGACACAUUCUUGAAUCUUUGAUUACAAGUUGCAUUCUGUUUUUAAGGUAGGUAAAAUUAAUUUUUCAACUUAUAACCAAGAAUCCUAAUGUAGAAAAUAAAUAGUAACAACUGGUUCCCUCUAUGUUUGUUAGGGCUCCAGCAAUAACAUACCACACCCUGGGUGGCCUAAGUAACAGAAAUUUAUUGCAUUUUCUACACUAACCAGACUGCUACAUCAAGGUCAAAGUCUUGACUGCUUGAAUGGAAAAGAAUGGCAAACAAAAUCUCUGGAUGGGGUUGUCUGAAAUCAGUAUCCUUUACAAUCUUGAAAUCUCGGUCCUCCUGAGAUCUAUAGGUCUGCAAAAGAAGCCCCCUCCUUCUUUUUUCCUGUUAAAAGCUACUUCCCCUUCUUGCUUAUACAGGUUGCAGAAGCUUCUGCUAUGCAAUGCGUACACCUCUCCGGAUCUAUUUUCACCAUCCUCCCCUGCCACCAGAACAAUAAUUAACAUCAGAUCCCUCCUCCUUUUGGUUGAAAAACUAACAACAACAACGAAAAGAGUACCUUUUUUAAAAAAUCUUUUGGAAGACUAG
rnacentral:lncRNA from 1 species